rnacentral:rRNA from 1 species
AUUGAACGCUGGCGGCAGGCCUAACACAUGCAAGUCGAACGAGUGGCGGACGGGUGAGUAAGGUCUGGGAAACUGACUGAUGUAGGGGGAUAACUACUGGAAACGGUAGCUAAUACCGCAUACCAGACGAUGUGCCCAGAUGGGAUUAGCUUGUGGGUGUGGUAACGGCUCACCAGGGCGACGAUCCCCAGCUGGUCUGAGAGGAGGACCAGCCACACUGGAACUGAGACACGGCCCAGACUCCUACGGGAGGCAGCAGUGGGGAAUAUUGCACAAUGGGCGCAAGCCUGAUGCAGCCAUGCCGCGUGUAUGAAGAAGGCCUUCGGGUUGUAAAGUACUUUCAGCGGGGAGGCGUUACCCGCAGAAGAAGCACCGGCUAACUCCGUGCCAGCAGCCGCGGUAAUUC